rnacentral:rRNA from 1 species
GCCUAAAGCGUCCGUAGCCUGCUUUGUAAGUUUCCGGUUAAAUCCAUUAGCUCAACUAAUGGGCCGCCGGAAAAACUGCAAAGCUAGGGAGUGGGAGAGGUAGACGGUACUCGGUAGGAAGGGGUAAAAUCCUUUGAUCUAUCGAUGACCACCUGUGGCGAAGGCGGUCUACCAGAACACGUUCGACGGUGAGGGAUGAAAGCUGGGGGAGCAAACCGGAUUAGAUACCCGGGUAGUCCCAGCUGUAAACGAUGCAGACUCGGUGAUGCGCUGGCUUGUGGCCAGUGCAGUGCCGCAGGGAAGCCGUUAAGUUUGCCGCCUGGGAAGUACGUACGCAAGUAUGAAACUUAAAGGAAUUGGCGGGGGAGCACCACAAGGGGUGAAGCCUGCGGUUCAAUUGGAGUCAACGCCAGAAAUCUUACCCGAGGAGACAGCAGAAUGAAGGUCAAGCUGGAGACUUUACCAGACAAGCUGAGAAGUGGUGCAUGGCCGUCGCCAGCUCGUGCCGUGAGAUGUCCUGUUAAGUCAGGUAACGAGCGAGAUCCCUGCCUCUAGUUGCCACCAUUACUCUCAGGAGUAGUGGGGCGAAUUAGCGGGACCGCCACAGUUAAUGUGGAGGAAGGAAGGGGCCACGGCAGGUCAGUAUGCCCCGAA